ensembl:lncRNA
GGGGGCUGGGAGGGACUGGGAGGGAAUGGGAGGGAAUGGGAGUCAUACUGGGAUAUACUGGGAGGGACUGGGAGGGACUGGGAGUCAUACUGGGAUAUACUGGGAGGGACUGGGAGUCAUACUGGGAGGGAAUGGGAGGGACUGGGAGGGACUGGGAGUCAUACUGGGUGGGACUGGGAUAUACUGGGAGGGAAUGGGAGGGACUGGGAGGGAAUGGGAGUCAUACUGGGAUAUACUGGGAGGGACUGGGAGGGAGUGGGAGUCAUACUGGGAGGGACUGGGAUAUACUGGGAGGGGCUGGGAGGGGACUGGGUUAUACUGGGAGGGACUGGGAGUCAUACUGGGAUAUACUGGGAGGGACUGGGAGGGACUGGGAGUCAUACUGGGAUAUACUGGGAGGGACUGGGAGUGAUACUGGG